rnacentral:rRNA from 1 species
AUUGAACGCUGGCGGCAUGCCUUACACAUGCAAGUCGAACGGCAGCACGGGAGCAAUCCUGGUGGCGAGUGGCGAACGGGUGAGUAAUAUAUCGGAACGUGCCCAGUCGUGGGGGAUAACGUAGCGAAAGCUACGCUAAUACCGCAUACGAUCUAUGGAUGAAAGCGGGGGAUCGCAAGACCCCGCGCGAUUGGAGCGGCCGAUAUCAGAUUAGGUAGUUGGUGAGGUAAAGGCUCACCAAGCCGACGAUCUGUAGCUGGUCUGAGAGGACGACCAGCCACACUGGGACUGAGACACGGCCCAGACUCCUACGGGAGGCAGCAGUGGGGAAUUUUGGAAAAUGGGCGCAAGCCUGAUCCAGCAAUGCCGCGUGCAGGAUGAAGGCCUUCGGGUUGCAAACUGCUUUUGUACGGAACGAAACGGCGAGCUCUAAUACAGUUUGCUAAUGACGGUACCGUAAGAAUAAGCACCGGCUAACUACGUGCCAGCAGCCGCCGUAA